rnacentral:rRNA from 1 species
CGAGCGGAACGAUGCCUAGCUUGCUAGGAGGCGUCGAGCGGCGGACGGGUGAGUAAUGCAUAGGAAUCUGCCCGGUAGUGGGGGAUAACCUGGGGAAACCCAGGCUAAUACCGCAUACGCCCUACGGGGGAAAGCAGGGGAUCUUCGGACCUUGCGCUAUCGGAUGAGCCUAUGUCGGAUUAGCUAGUUGGUGAGGUAACGGCUCACCAAGGCUGCGAUCCGUAGCUGGUCUGAGAGGAUGAUCAGCCACAUCGGGACUGAGACACGGCCCGAACUCCUACGGGAGGCAGCAGUGGGGAAUAUUGGACAAUGGGCGAAAGCCUGAUCCAGCCAUGCCGCGUGUGUGAAGAAGGCCUUCGGGUUGUAAAGCACUUUCAGUGAGGAAGAAAGCCUUGAGGUUAAUACCCUCGAGGGAGGACAUCACUCACAGAAGAAGCACCGGCUAACUCCGUGCCAGCAGCCGCGGUAAUACGGAGGGUGCGAGCGUUAAUCGGAAUUACUGGGCGUAAAGCGCGCGUAGGCGGCUUGAUAAGCCGGUUGUGAAAGCCCCGGGCUCAACCUGGGAACGGCAUCCGGAACUGUCAGGCUAGAGUGCAGGAGAGGAAGGUAGAAUUCCCGGUGUAGCGGUGAAAUGCGUAGAGAUCGGGAGGAAUACCAGUGGCGAAGGCGGCCUUCUGGACUGACACUGACGCUGAGGUGCGAAAGCGUGGGUAGCAAACAGGAUUAGAUACCCUGGUAGUCCACGCCGUAAACGAUGUCGACUAGCCGUUGGGCUC